CGGGGUGUAGCGCAGUCUGGUAGCGCAUCUGUUUUGGGUACAGAGGGCCAUAGGUUCGAAUCCUGUCACCUCGA
rnacentral:tRNA from 1 species